rnacentral:rRNA from 1 species
AUUGAACGCUGGCGGCAGGCCUAACACAUGCAAGUCGAACGAGUGGCGGACGGGUGAGUAAUGUCUGGGAAACUGCCCGAUGGAGGGGGAUAACUACUGGAAACGGUAGCUAAUACCGCGUACCAUCGGAUUUGCCCAGAUGGGAGUAGCUUGUAGGUGAGGUAAUGGCUCACCUAGGCGACGAUCCCUAGCUGGGCUGAGAGGAUGACCAGCAACACGGGAACUGAGAGACGGUACAGAAACCAACGUGAGGAAGCAGUAGGGGAUAGUGCACAAUGGGCGCAAGCCUGAUAAAGCGAUGGCGCGUAUAUGAAGAAGGCCUUCGAGUUGUAAAGUACUUUAAGCGGGGAGGGGUUGCCCGCAGAAGAAGCGCCGGCUAACUCCAUGCCAGCAGCCGCGGUAAUAC